AAUCAUCAACCCCCUACAAUUUGUUUUGUUGGGAGGCUUGGAAUUGAGGGUUCUUGUCGGAGAUUUACUUCGACUCCCUCGAAAGUCAUUGGCUUCCGGUGAACCCUUCGUUGGCGUGAUAGGCAAUAUCUACGUCUGUGCGGGCGGGGACGUCGGCGCCUUGUGGAAACUGCUUUUUUC
rnacentral:misc_RNA from 1 species